UACAGAGGGGGCAAGCGUUGUUCGGAAUUACUGGGCGUAAAGGGCGCGUAGGCGGCCCGCUAAGUCGAACGUGAAAUCCCCGAGCUCAACUCGGGAACUGCGUCCGAUACUGGCGGGCUUGAAUCCGGGAGAGGGGAUGCGGAAUUCCAGGUGUAGCGGUGAAAUGCGUAGAUAUCUGGAGGAACACCGGUGGCGAAGGCGGCAUCCUGGACCGGCAUUGACGCUGAGGCGCGAAAGCUAGGGGAGCAAACGGG
rnacentral:rRNA from 1 species